rnacentral:rRNA from 1 species
GGUGGAAACGCCGUCUAAUACCGGAUACGACCCGCCACCUCAUGGUGGAGGGUGGAAAGUUUUUCGGUCAGGGAUGGGCUCGCGGCCUAUCAGCUUGUUGGUGGGGUAACGGCCUACCAAGGCGAUUACGGGUAGCCGGCCUGAGAGGGCGACCGGCCACACUGGGACUGAGACACGGCCCAGACUCCUGCGGGAGGCAGCAGUGGGGAAUAUUGCGCAAUGGGCGAAAGCCUGACGCAGCGACGCCGCGUGGGGGAUGACGGCCUUCGGGUUGUAAACCUCUUUUACCACCAACGCAGGCUCGAAGUUCUCUUCGGGUUGACGGUAGGUGGGGAAUAAGGACCGGCUAACUACGUGCCAGCAGCCGCGGUAAUACGUAGGGUCCGAGCGUUGUCCGGAAUUAUUGGGGC